rnacentral:misc_RNA from 1 species
GAGGUGCUGACCAUCAACAGCCUGAAAUAGAUGCACAAGCAAAGCAUAAGUGACACCAGCAACUACAGAUGCCAAAAUCAAAAACUGGUUACAACAGCAUUGGCAUAAAAUGAGGUGAUUAUUAUCAUGUUGAAAACAUACAAUAAGAAGAUGAAAACAACUCAUUCAACUCAGUGAAAUUACACCUAUGGCAUUCACUACUUUUAGGUACCAACUUAUUGUACAUUACACUCUCGUA